AUAUUAGAAGGGUGAAUUCUGGGGCUAAAUACCAGUUUUGUUAAAUUGGAGACUUUGGUGGUCAGGCUCAGCAGUCUGUGAUGUCAUUAACAAGUCCUGCAGGUGAUUCUGUUGCCCCAAAUUACAGUAUUCGAUCUGUAAAGUGCAAACAAUAAUAUUACUCUCCUCUGAUGGUUUUAUGGAUAAUGCAAGUCUGUGCAGUGCAACCCAGUUUAGCAGUCAUCUGGCACAUUGUAAGUGGUUCAGUAAAGGGUACCAGUAAAGGCCAGUUAGUGCCACUUCUGAUGUCUUCACAUCGACUGCCCUACCUCCCUUGAAUCUUUGCUUGAAUGGGCACUUUAUCAAGAAGGCCUUCUUUGCUCUCUUUAUAAUUUCAUCAUGCCUCUCCCUCCUGCCCCGCUAUCUGGAAUUCCCAACCUCCUUUCCUCCCCUGUGUCCCCCCACGCACACCCUCCAUAGCACUUAUCACUGUGCCAUAAAUCAUAUAAUUUAUUUACUCACUAUGUGCAUCCCUAAAUGUCUACCUGCCCCUGCUAGGUAACAACUCCUCAAGGGGAGGGGAUCUUUGUUUUCACUGAUGGAGCCCAAGUGCUAAAAUCAGUGCCUGGCAUAGGGUAGGCUUUUUAGUAUUUGUUUUCACGAUGAAUGUUUGGUACAGUUGUUUUAUGAGAGAGGGCUUCCAAAUGCCCUUCAAGUACUUUAGGUAUUCUGAAUGUUUGAUUUGUCUUGCGAAAAGCUUCCAUAAUUAGGCGGUGCUUUUGGCACCGGUUGACAGUCUCUGCACCCCGAGGCCACCUGGAGAGCUGCUGGGGUUCAGGCAGAAGAGUAGGGUCCCAGGCCACUUCACCCAAGUGGCUGGAUUCUGGGAGAAAUUUCACUGACAAAAGGACUGUGUAGCUAAGAGAGUUUGAAACUCAUUUCUCUAUACCAUUAGGUUGGAAUGAGUUUGUUUUCCUGAACACUGCUGAACUCUGCAGCCAUUUUUUACUGGUGAGAGUGGCAGUUAAAAGCUGCAGAUUUGUUCCUGGCAGAAGGAGCUGAGAAGAGAUGUCAUGAGGAAAGAAUUAGGAGAUGGAAGAGGCGAGGCGGGGGAUUUAGACGGUCCAGGCAGAAGCGCUGAUCUUGGUUGAAGGAAGAAGCAGAGGUGAUAAAGGCAAACCCCACGUGAGGAGAAGGCCUGGAAACCCAGUAAGAGAAAUGUGAACUCUGUGCGGGGAAUCACCGGAGGAUCCUGAGAGAGCAGUGUUGUGACAGCUGCAGAGGAGAUGGGUUUUGACAAUAUUUUUUAACAGAUUUGGGGGUAGGGAGAAUCUGUUGAGCUAGAGACCAGAUUUUGCAUUGUAUGUUUGUGUGUGUGUUUGUGUAUAUGUGUGUAUUUUUAUGUGACUGUGUGUGUGUGUGUGUGUGUUCAUGCGUAUUUGUGUAGCUGGGUUGUAUAUGUAUCCAUGUAUUGGAUUUGUGUGUGGAUUGUGUGUGUGUGUGUGUUUGUGUGUAUGCAUGUGUAUUUGUGUGUCUAUUUGUAUAUGUGUAUGUGUGUAUUUGUGUGUGGAUUGUGUGUGUGUGUGUGUGUCUCUUUUUGGUCUUUUUGUUUACUCUUAUUCUUGCCUCUCUAUGUCUUUUUUACUUUUAUUCUAAUCUUUUGUAGUAAUGCCUCUUUAAUUUGUCAUCCUUGGGGAGAAAGGAGAGUCUUCAUAAGAAACCACUGAUACCUGUGAGCACCAAGGCAGUGACAGAUCACAACCUUGCUGUAGUGGUAGGGCUUCUAAAAGCCCGUUUCUUCUGUUAUUCUGCUGAGUGGAAUUUAAUUUUCUUGAUGUCUCGGAUUCACCAUUGUGAGCAUCAGGAUUUAUGCUGGAAAACAGACAGACCCCAAAUACCUCUUUAAGUGUUAGUUUCUGGUCUAAAAAUGGGAGAAAGGACAUGACUGCCCAAUUCAGGGAGUUGCUUCGAGGUUGGACUGGGAUCAUCUUUUAUGGAACUUCCUCAGGGCUGGAUGCAGUUCUGAAUUCCGAGUGAUUGACAGCUGUUAGUGUCACCAUCACCAUCUUCCAGCCCCCAGACCGAGUCACAUAAUUCUGCCUCCCUUCUAGUCCUUUCCUUCAGAGUCUCCGCUCACAUGGAGCAUAUCUGUUUGUUCACACUGUGACUUAGGGUUUGACAAAUGGUAGGCACUUGGUAAAUAUUGACAAAAUGAAUCAAUGAAUACAUGAUUAUUUUGGAUGGUUUUAGAUUAAAAGACAUUU
rnacentral:lncRNA from 1 species